CGCACUAGUCACUUUGUAUAUAUUACAAAUGUGAGAUGCAGUGUAUGGAAUGUCAAAUUUCUAGUAUGAGAAAUUAAUGAUUUAAGUCCUUCUUAAAUGAGGCCAUUUACCCAAAGAGGGUGCCAGGCCCGUAUAACAUUAAUGAUUAUUAGAUGACAUUUCCAAAGAGUCGUGUUGCUUGAUAGUGCAGCACUAAGUGGGUGGUAAACUCCAUCUAAAACUAAAUAUAACCAUGAGACCGAUAGUAAACAAGUACCGUGAGGGAAAGUUGAAAAGAACUCUGAAUAGAGAGUUAAAUAGUACGUGAAACUGCUUAGAGGUUAAGCCCGAUGAACCUGAAUAUCUAUUAUGGAAAAUUCAUCAUUAUGAUUUUAAUAUUUGUAAUAUUAUAAUAAUGGUGUGCAUUUUUUCCAUAAAAGACAUUGUAAUCUAUUAAUAUAAAAGAAUAUAUAAUUUAUCAUAAGUUCAUUAUGCAAUUAGUUUAUUCAAAUUAUUUUGCUUGCAAUUUAAUAUAGAAUAAAUGCUUAUGAUCUGAUAAAGUAUUGAUAGAUUUAUUAUAUAUAGUGCUUAAAUACAUAAUAUAUUUUAUAAAAGCAUAUUAAUUAAUAAUUUUUAUGUUUAUUAUAUGCACUUAUAUGAUUUACAAUGCGAAAGAUUCAGGAUACCUUCGGGACCCGUCUUGAAACACGGACCAAGGAGUCUAACAUAUUUGCAAGUUAUUGGGAAAAAAAACCUAAUAGCGAAAUUAACAUAACUUAAAAAUAUUAUUUAUGGGAUUAGUUUUUAGUCUAUUAAUUAUAAUGGUCUAUUAAUUCAAUCCCGGGGCGUUCUAUACAGUUAUGUAUAAUAGUAUUUAUAUUAUUUAUACCUCUAACUAGAGCGUACCUUGAGCAUAUAUGCUGUGACCCGAAAGAUGGUGAACUAUACUUGAUCAGGUUGAAGUCAGGGGAAACCCUGAUGGAAGACCGAAACAGUUCUGACGUGCAAAUCGAUUGUCAGAAUUGAGUAUAGGGGCGAAAGACCAAUCGAACCAUCUAGUAGCUGGUUCCCUCCGAAGUUUCCCUCAGGAUAGCUGGUGCAUUGAAAAAUUAUUUAAAAUAAUCUUAUCUGGUAAAGCGAAUGAUUAGAGGCCUUAGGGUCGAAACGAUCUUAACCUAUUCUCAAACUUUAAAUGGGUAAGAACCACACCUUUCUUGGUAUGAAGGUGUGGUUGUGAUAUAAUGUGCCCAGUGGGCCACUUUUGGUAAGCAGAACUGGCGCUGUGGGAUGAACCAAACGUAAUGUUACGGUGCCCAAAUUAACAACUCAUGCAGAUACCAUGAAAGGCGUUGGUUGCUAAA
rnacentral:rRNA from 1 species